rnacentral:rRNA from 1 species
AUUGAACGCUGGCGGCAGGCCUAACACAUGCAAGUCGAGCGAGCGGCGGACGGGUGAGUAAUGUCUGGGAAACUGCCUGAUGGAGGGGGAUAACUACUGGAAACGGUAGCUAAUACCGCAUACCAUCAGAUGUGCCCAGAUGGGAUGUGCUAGUAGGUGGGGUACCGGCUCACCUAGGCGACGCUCCCUAGCUGGUCUGAGAGGAUGACCAGCCACACUGGAACUGAGACACGGUCCGGAGUCGAAAGGGAGGCAGCAGGGGGGAAUAUUGCACAAGGGGCGCAAGCCUGAUUCAGCCAGGCCGCGUGUGUGAAGAAGGCCUUCGGGUUGUAAAGCACUUUCAGCGGGGAGGCGUUACCCGCAGAAGAAGCACUGGCUAACUCCGUGCAAGCAGCCGCGGUAAUUC